UAUUGGACAAUGGGCGCAAGCCUGAUCCAGCCAUGCCGCGUGAGUGAUGAAGGCCUUCGGGUUGUAAAGCUCUUUAGUCCACGAAUAUAAUGACUGUAGUGGAAGAAUAAGCCCCGGCUAACUUCGUGCCAGCAGCCGCGGUAAUACGAGGGGGGCGAGCGUUGUUCGGAAUCACUGGGCGUAAAGCGUGCGUAGGCGGUUAUAAAAGUUAGGAGUGAAAGCCCUGGGCUCAACCUAGAAAUUGCUCUUAAUACUGUAUAACUCGAUUCGGAGAGGAUAGCGGAAUUGUCAGUGAGCAGUAAAUGCGAGUUUACAGAACACCGGUGGCGAAGCGGUUUCUGGCCGCCUAGCGUGGACAGAUCAU
rnacentral:rRNA from 1 species